rnacentral:tRNA from 1 species
UCCCUGUAACGCAGCGGAUAGCGCGUUGGACUUCUAAUCCAAAGGUCGUGGGUUCGAAUCCCACCAGAAAAG